rnacentral:rRNA from 1 species
AGCGAACGCUGGCGGCAGGCCUAACACAUGCAAGUCGAACGGACCCUUCGGAGUUAGUGGCGGACGGGUGAGUAACACGUGGGCACGUGCCUUUAGGUUCGGAAUAACUCAGGGAAACUUGCGCUAAUACCGAAUGUGCCCUUCGGGGGACAGAUUUAUCGCCUUUAGAGCGGCCCACGUCUGAUUAGCUUGUUGGUGAGGUAAUGGCUCACCAAGGCGACGAUCAGUAGCUGGUCUGAGAGGAUGACCAGCCACAUUGGGACUGAGACACGGCCCAAACUCCUACGGGAGGCAGCAGUGGGGAAUCUUGCGCAAUGGGCGAAAGCCUGACGCAGCCAUGCCGCGUGGAUGAUGAAGGUCUUAGGAUUGUAAAAUCCUUUCACCUGUGAAGAUAAUGACUGUAGCCGGAGAAGAAGCCCCGGCUAGCUUCGUGCCAGCCGCCGCAGUAACAC